UUUAACGGUAAUGGAUGAUGGAUAUUUGCUUCCUUCUCUCGCUUUACUCUGGUUCUUAAGCACCACGAGACGACCUCCCAAAGAUUUGGCGAAUGGAGGUGGGCGGCCUUCUUCUCUUUCGAACCCUCUACUCUCCUCCCAUUCGCCUUCCUCUCCGUCGCCAUUCCUCGCCAGUCCCGUUCUCGCCUCUUCUCAGAGCAUCCUCUUCCCCUCUUCCUCUUCCUUCUCCUCCCUCGGCUUAUUCUCAGGGGGCUUACAGAGGCCCAAAACCCCAGCGGGAUUUGGUGAGCGACUGGGUCUCCAACAACGAUGGGUUCGUCCGGAGCUUGCCCAUCUUCGUGGGCGGCCUCGCCUUGCUCGCUGUCCUCCUUAACCGCACCUUCUCCGGCAUAUCUCCCGUCGCCGAUGCUUCCAGCUCACAGUCAAGGGCAGACAUAUUAACCCUUGCUUUGGCAGUAACAAACCUUCUUUCUGGCCUUGUAUGGUUGUCAAUUCGGCCAAAAUAUAUUUCUCCUGUUGUUCCCCAAGGUGUAGAGUGCAAGAGGAUAAAUUCUAAAGUUGCAAAUUAUGCAGUUCUUGAGUUGCUGUGGGUGUGGGAAUCUCUUUCAGCUACGACAUGUUGUAGAUCAUUAGUUGUUGUGCAUGGAGGCUACUGCCUUCUUCAAAUUGGAAUUGCAGCUGAAUCUCUAACGGAAGUUGGUGAACCAGUGGCUGUUGAUGUGCAUAAAUUGAUUCAAAGUCCAGUUUAUAGAAGUGUCAUCGAAUCGAGAAAACAGAGCUAUUUGGCAAACCUCUCUCUUUAUCCUGCAAGGUCUGAGCUUCCCUUCUUACCUAUUAAUACACAGGCCGUUAUCUUGCAGCCACUAGGGAAUAGUGGAAUUGCCAUCAUUGGUGGUGACACUAUCAGGGGCUUCACCAACCUUGAUCAGGAGGGAAAUUUUUACUCAUGGGGAACUCAAAUCACCAAGGAAUGCAAGCCACAAAUGGUGAGAAAUUGUUGGAGAUGAGGCCAUUUGAUCAGUGUAAGCGAGGAAAAGCAUGGAUUACGUUAAUUGCAGAGAAGCUAGAUGUGACAUUGUCAAAGUCUCUGGCAGCUCCUGGAAAGAUCUAAGCAGCUUGAUUCAGACAAGGGGAUCUCUUGGGUAAAUAGCCUCAGAGUACGAGGCUGGUGGUCGUGUAUCCACUUCUAUGGAUGUAUAUGACUAUGGAUACUUUCUCUAGGGGAUGCUUACUGGAGAGAGACCGUUUGAUGAAAUGCAGGAUGAUUGUCUCAGCCAUCAAAAGUUUUCGACAUGGAUUUUCUUGAGAGUCAUGGAAGUUGCGGAUCUCCGACUAUUAUUUGUGGUUGAUAAGUUUGUUGCUUGUGAAUUCUUGGUGUCUUUGGCAAAAAUUGAUCUUUCUUGCUCAAGUCAAUCAUGGAAGGAUGAACUUGAAGGAUGCUGCAGUCAUGAUACGUGUAGUUAGGUAUUCCUGUCUUCGGGCUCAAGUUUUGCAAAAGGAUCCGAUAAAGGCCAAGUGGAUGGUAGUCUCCUAUCUUACCUCCUCAAGCCAUUUGGAUCAAUGCUUUUGACUCAUUUGCUAAUUUUUAAAGUUUUGGAGUGAUGUUUUAAGUGCACUUUAAUUUAUAUAUACUCUUUCUCUCACUUGAGUUGUUUCCUCAUACUAGCGGACGCUUAGGUGAGGCACGGUCUGUUUGUGUAUAGCAAGAAUAGAUAAAUUAGACACAAACGUGGCUCUAAUUGAAGGAUGCAUAAAUAUUGAUUAUUUUUGAAUAACUUUAUAUUUUUCUCCAUCUUGACAUAUCAGAAUAAGUUGACUGAAAGGGAUGUACAUCUGAAGGGUUCACAAAAUUGUAUCAUAAGCUUCUCUCCCACUGUAUACAUCAGUCUGAUGUUUAUGUAGUCCUACUAAUUCUCGAUUUCUGGAUA